rnacentral:rRNA from 1 species
UACGUAGGGGGCAAGCGUUGUCCGGAGUUACUGGGCGUAAAGCGCACGCAGGCGGUCUGUUAAGUUUGGAGUGACAGUUGGUGGCUUAACUGCCAAAGUGCUUUGAAAACUGAUAGACUUGAGGGCUUCAGAGGGACACGGAAUUCCGGGUGGAGUGGUGAAAUGCGUAGAGAUCCGGAGGAACACCAAAGGCGAAGGCAGUGU